rnacentral:lncRNA from 1 species
CAUUUUUAGCUCACCUGGCCCGAAGGGCCAAGUGAGCUUUUCUCAUCACUUGGCGUCCGGCGUCCGUCGUCCGUCGUCCGUCGUCCGUCGUCCGUCGUCGUCCGUCGUUAACUUUUACAAAAAUCUUCUCCUCUGAAACUACUGGACCAAUUAAACAACAACUUGGCAAUAAUCAUCAUUGGGGUAUCUAGUUUAAAAAUUGUGUCCGGUGACCCGCCCAACCAACCAAGAUGGCCGCCAUGGCUAAAAAUAGAACAUAGGGGUAAAAUGCAGUUUUUGGCUUAUAACUCAAAAACCAAAGCAUUUAGAGCAAAUCUGACAUGGGGUAAAAUUGUUUAUCAGGUCAAGAUCUAUCUGCCCUGAAAUUUUCAGAUGAAUCGGACAACCCGUUGAUAGGUUGCUGCCCCUGAAUUGGUAAUUUUGAGAAAAUUUUGCUGUUUUUGGUUAUUAUCUUGAAUAUUAUUAUAGAUAGAGAUAAACUGUGAACAGCAAAAAUGUUCAACAAAGUAAGAUCUACAAAUAAGUCAACAUGACCAAAAUGGUCUGUUGACCCCUUUAGAAGUUAUUGCCCUUUAUAGUCAAUUUUUAACCAUUUUUCGUAAAUCUUAAUUAUCUUUUACAAAAAUCUU